UUUGGCAUUGGCUUUACGGGCCAUAAUACCAUUGCCGACGGCGUGUAAAAGGUGCGUUUUACCGAGACCGGUACCACCGUA
rfam:Serratia sp. M24T3 contig017, whole genome shotgun sequence.